AUUGAACGCUGGCGGCAGGCUUAACACAUGCAAGUCGAGCGAGCGGCGGACGGGUGAGUAAUGUCUGGGAAACUGCCUGAGGGAGGGGGAUAACUACUGGAAACGGUAGCUAAUACCGCAUACCAUCAGAUUCGCCCAGAUGGGAUUAGCUAGGAGGUGGGAUAAUGGCUCACCUAGGCGACGAUCCCUAGCUGGUCUGAGAGGAUGACAAGACACACUGGAACUGAGACACGGUCCAGACUCCUACGGGAGGCAGCAGUGGGGAAUAUUGCACAAUGGGCGCAAGCCUGAUGCAGCCAUGCCGCGUGUAUGAAGAAGGCCUUCGGGUUGUAAAGUACUUUCAUCGAGGAGGCGUUACUCGCAGAAGAAGCACCGGCUAACUCCGUGCCAGCAGCCGCGGUAAUUC
rnacentral:rRNA from 1 species